CUAGUUCCUUCGAUAUCAGUGUAAUCUAAUAAUCAUGAUAUUUGUCGUGUUGGUGUAGUACACUACACGACAAAUAUCAUGAUUAUUAGAUCACACUGAUAUCGAAGGAACUA